rnacentral:rRNA from 1 species
CAGCAGCAGCCGCGGUAAGACAGAGGAUGCAAGCGUUAUCCGGAAUGAUUGGGCGUAAAGCGUCUGUAGGUGGCUUUUCAAGUCCGCCGUCAAAUCCCAGGGCUCAACCCUGGACAGGCGGUGGAAACUACCAAGCUGGAGUACGGUGGGGGCAGAGGGAAUUUCCGGUGGAGCGGUGAAAUGCAUUGAGAUCGGAAAGAACACCAACAGCGAAAUCACUCUGCUAGGCCGACACUGACACUGAGAGACGAAAUCUAGGGGAGCAAAUGGGAUUAGAUACCCCGGUAGUCCCUGUCUCUUAUAC